UCUAUGGCCAUACCACCCUGAAUGCGCCCGAUCUCGUCUGAUCUCGGAAGCUAAGCAGGGUCGGGCCUGGUUAGUACUUGGAUGGGAGAAAACCUAAAGGCUUAUUUGUUUGUUUUUAGAU
ensembl:rRNA 5S_rRNA 5S ribosomal RNA